rnacentral:rRNA from 1 species
AACCUUGCGGAGGGAUCAUUACCGAGUUUACAACUCCCAAACCCAAUGUGAACGUUACCAAACUGUUGCCUCGGCGGGGUCACGCCCCGGGUGCGUCGCAGCCCCGGAACCAGGCGCCCGCCGGAGGAACCAACCAAACUCUUUCUGUAGUCCCCUCGCGGACGUAUUUCUUACAGCUCUGAGCAAAAAUUCAAAAUGAAUCAAAACUUUCAACAACGGAUCUCUUGGUUCUGGCAUCGAUGAAGAACGCAGCGAAAUGCGAUAAGUAAUGUGAAUUGCAGAAUUCAGUGAAUCAUCGAAUCUUUGAACGCACAUUGCGCCCGCCAGUAUUCUGGCGGGCAUGCCUGUCCGAGCGUCAUUUCAACCCUCGAACCCCUCCGGGGGAUCGGCGUUGGGGAUCGGGACCCCUCACACGGGUGCCGGCCCCUAAAUACAGUGGCGGUCUCGCCGCAGCCUCUCCUGCGCAGUAGUUUGCACAACUCGCACCGGGAGCGCGGCGCGUCCACGUCCGUAAAACACCCAACUUUCUGAAAUGUUGACCUCGGAUCAGGUAGGAAUACCCGCUGAACUUAAGCAUAUCAAUAAGCGGAGGAA